rnacentral:lncRNA from 1 species
UUUGAUGAGGAAUGAGGAAAAGUUUUUUCAUAACAGUAGUAUGGCAGAUUUUUGCAAGGACUUUAGUAAAUUCUGGCUUCUGUCCUUGGUAAGUUAAUCACUUCUAGUUAGGAUAAUUAGUAGUAUAUAAGAUAACACCUGACGCUUAAUCAACAAAGGAUGGGGAUGGAAGGAUACAGGUGGCUGGAGAGGCGAUGUCCUGGACUGACUUGCCGGAGCAAAGUGAGUAUUGUUUCUGAAUAGGCCAUGGGCCAGAGAGUAAUCAGAGUGAUGUGAUCUGCAGAGAUCUUUGGUAUUGCUUAAUUGUUCAUGGGGUAUCUGGGACUAAAAGAGAUGGGCAGCCUGCUAGAGCCCUACUUUGUCUGCAAUUUUAAAAAGGUAGUUCUGGUGAAAAAAGCCUGGCUUGCAUUAUUCCUAACAUGAGUCACUGCAUCUCACCCAAUUUCUAGUCCUGGAUGAAUUCACAAUGCAGAACUCCUAGAGUGAAGGUGUGGUCAGGUAUGAGGGAUGAGUUUACACCAACCUCAGAACAACAAAUUGUGACUAUUCCUCUCUGUCCUCUCCAGCAGGUCUGAAAUCACUUACCAGGUAAAUGUGAUCAAGAGAAGGGGAAACACUCAAAAUAUUCAAGUGCUCAAUAAAUAUUUAUUAACUAGAUUGGUGACUAAAUUUCUGAAGGAAAUUUCAAAAUUUCUAUUCCGGUGCCAUUAUUAAAGGUUUGAAAGAUACAGAUGUGUUUGUGGUAUUCAACUUUGAAAUUAAGUCCAGAAGUUGCGGAAUAUCAAUAAGGGAUGGUAUUGGACUAAAGAAGAAAUGGACAUCACCCAGAAAUCUUGCAUAGAGUAUCAGAUGAAACUUUGUAUUGUCUCCCUUCAGGGAGGAGCUUCUGUAGAACUUCUUUUGGUGAAAGAAUUUGAUGGCUUCCCUGUUUUCAGCAGCUCUACAGUGAAGCCAUGGCUGCAGCAACAGUGGUGGUGUCUGCUGGCGGACAAAUGGAUUUUCUUUGAAGUGAUCUAGGUCAGAGCAGAGAAGCAGAUGGGGAUGAUCCCUUACAAAAAUGCCUUGACCUGGAAAUUCUCCCCACAGGAGCAGAGAGAAGAGCUGCCUUUUAAGUAGCAUUGUCUGAGGAGUAGCUCCCAAAUGCUUAUUCCUGGACAUGGCAGGGCCAGAUGCCCAAUAAUCACCUGGAAAAUAUUAGUUACAAAAACUAAAUAAAACAAACCCCCUGGUUCUACCCUAAUUUGGA